rnacentral:rRNA from 1 species
AAUACAUGCAAGUCGAGCGGACCGACGGGAGCUUGCUCCCUUAGGUCAGCGGCGGACGGGUGAGUAACACGUGGGUAACCUGCCUGUAAGACUGGGAUAACUCCGGGAAACCGGGGCUAAUACCGGAUGCUUGAUUGAACCGCAUGGUUCAAUCAUAAAAGGUGGCUUUUAGCUACCACUUGCAGAUGGACCCGCGGCGCAUUAGCUAGUUGGUGAGGUAACGGCUCACCAAGGCGACGAUGCGUAGCCGACCUGAGAGGGUGAUCGGCCACACUGGGACUGAGACACGGCCCAGACUCCUACGGGAGGCAGCAGUAGGGAAUCUUCCGCAAUGGACGAAAGUCUGACGGAGCAACGCCGCGUGAGUGAUGAAGGUUUUCGGAUCGUAAAACUCUGUUGUUAGGGAAGAACAAGUACCGUUCGAAUAGGGCGGKACCUUGACGGUACCUAACCAGAAAGCCACGGCUAACUACGUGCCAGCAGCCGCGGUAAUACGUAGGUGGCAAGCGUUGUCCGGAAUUAUUGGGCGUAAAGCGCGCGCAGGCGGUUUCUUAAGUCUGAUGUGAAAGCCCCCGGCUCAACCGGGGAGGGUCAUUGGAAACUGGGGAACUUGAGUGCAGAAGAGGAGAGUGGAAUUCCACGUGUAGCGGUGAAAUGCGUAGAGAUGUGGAGGAACACCAGUGGCGAAGGCGACUCUCUGGUCUGUAACUGACGCUGAG